GGGUUGUGAGGUUAAGCGACUAAGCGUACACGGUGGAUGCCCUGGCAGUCAGAGGCGAUGAAGGACGUGCUAAUCUGCGAUAAGCGUCGGUAAGGUGAUAUGAACCGUUAUAACCGGCGAUUUCCGAAUGGGGAAACCCAGUGUGUUUCGACACACUAUCAUUAACUGAAUCCAUAGGUUAAUGAGGCGAACCGGGGGAACUGAAACAUCUAAGUACCCCGAGGAAAAGAAAUCAACCGAGAUUCCCCCAGUAGCGGCGAGCGAACGGGGAGCAGCCCAGAGCCUGAAUCAGUGUGUGUGUUAGUGGAAGCGUCUGGAAAGGCGCGCGAUACAGGGUGACAGCCCCGUACACAAAAAUGCACAUGCUGUGAGCUCGAUGAGUAGGGCGGGACACGUGGUAUCCUGUCUGAAUAUGGGGGGACCAUCCUCCAAGGCUAAAUACUCCUGACUGACCGAUAGUGAACCAGUACCGUGAGGGAAAGGCGAAAAGAACCCCGGCGAGGGGAGUGAAAAAGAACCUGAAACCGUGUACGUACAAGCAGUGGGAGCACGCUUAGGCGUGUGACUGCGUACCUUUUGUAUAAUGGGUCAGCGACUUAUAUUCUGUAGCAAGGUUAACCGAAUAGGGGAGCCGAAGGGAAACCGAGUCUUAACUGGGCGUUAAGUUGCAGGGUAUAGACCCGAAACCCGGUGAUCUAGCCAUGGGCAGGUUGAAGGUUGGGUAACACUAACUGGAGGACCGAACCGACUAAUGUUGAAAAAUUAGCGGAUGACUUGUGGCUGGGGGUGAAAGGCCAAUCAAACCGGGAGAUAGCUGGUUCUCCCCGAAAGCUAUUUAGGUAGCGCCUCGUGAAUUCAUCUCCGGGGGUAGAGCACUGUUUCGGCAAGGGGGUCAUCCCGACUUACCAACCCGAUGCAAACUGCGAAUACCGGAGAAUGUUAUCACGGGAGACACACGGCGGGUGCUAACGUCCGUCGUGAAGAGGGAAACAACCCAGACCGCCAGCUAAGGUCCCAAAGUCAUGGUUAAGUGGGAAACGAUGUGGGAAGGCCCAGACAGCCAGGAUGUUGGCUUAGAAGCAGCCAUCAUUUAAAGAAAGCGUAAUAGCUCACUGGUCGAGUCGGCCUGCGCGGAAGAUGUAACGGGGCUAAACCAUGCACCGAAGCUGCGGCAGCGACGCUGAUGCGUUGUUGGGUAGGGGAGCGUUCUGUAAGCCUGCGAAGGUGUGCUGUGAGGCAUGCUGGAGGUAUCAGAAGUGCGAAUGCUGACAUAAGUAACGAUAAAGCGGGUGAAAAGCCCGCUCGCCGGAAGACCAAGGGUUCCUGUCCAACGUUAAUCGGGGCAGGGUGAGUCGACCCCUAAGGCGAGGCCGAAAGGCGUAGUCGAUGGGAAACAGGUUAAUAUUCCUGUACUUGGUGUUACUGCGAAGGGGGGACGGAGAAGGCUAUGUUGGCCGGGCGACGGUUGUCCCGGUUUAAGCGUGUAGGCUGGUUUUCCAGGCAAAUCCGGAAAAUCAAGGCUGAGGCGUGAUGACGAGGCACUACGGUGCUGAAGCAACAAAUGCCCUGCUUCCAGGAAAAGCCUCUAAGCAUCAGGUAACAUCAAAUCGUACCCCAAACCGACACAGGUGGUCAGGUAGAGAAUACCAAGGCGCUUGAGAGAACUCGGGUGAAGGAACUAGGCAAAAUGGUGCCGUAACUUCGGGAGAAGGCACGCUGAUAUGUAGGUGAGGUCCCUCGCGGAUGGAGCUGAAAUCAGUCGAAGAUACCAGCUGGCUGCAACUGUUUAUUAAAAACACAGCACUGUGCAAACACGAAAGUGGACGUAUACGGUGUGACGCCUGCCCGGUGCCGGAAGGUUAAUUGAUGGGGUCAGCGCAAGCGAAGCUCUUGAUCGAAGCCCCGGUAAACGGCGGCCGUAACUAUAACGGUCCUAAGGUAGCGAAAUUCCUUGUCGGGUAAGUUCCGACCUGCACGAAUGGCGUAAUGAUGGCCAGGCUGUCUCCACCCGAGACUCAGUGAAAUUGAACUCGCUGUGAAGAUGCAGUGUACCCGCGGCAAGACGGAAAGACCCCGUGAACCUUUACUAUAGCUUGACACUGAACAUUGAGCCUUGAUGUGUAGGAUAGGUGGGAGGCUUGGAAGUGUGGACGCCAGUCUGCAUGGAGCCGACCUUGAAAUACCACCCUUUAAUGUUUGAUGUUCUAACGUUGACCCGUAAUCCGGGUUGCGGACAGUGUCUGGUGGGUAGUUUGACUGGGGCGGUCUCCUCCUAAAGAGUAACGGAGGAGCACGAAGGUUGGCUAAUCCUGGUCGGACAUCAGGAGGUUAGUGCAAUGGCAUAAGCCAGCUUGACUGCGAGCGUGACGGCGCGAGCAGGUGCGAAAGCAGGUCAUAGUGAUCCGGUGGUUCUGAAUGGAAGGGCCAUCGCUCAACGGAUAAAAGGUACUCCGGGGAUAACAGGCUGAUACCGCCCAAGAGUUCAUAUCGACGGCGGUGUUUGGCACCUCGAUGUCGGCUCAUCACAUCCUGGGGCUGAAGUAGGUCCCAAGGGUAUGGCUGUUCGCCAUUUAAAGUGGUACGCGAGCUGGGUUUAGAACGUCGUGAGACAGUUCGGUCCCUAUCUGCCGUGGGCGCUGGAGAACUGAGGGGGGCUGCUCCUAGUACGAGAGGACCGGAGUGGACGCAUCACUGGUGUUCGGGUUGUCAUGCCAAUGGCACUGCCCGGUAGCUAAAUGCGGAAGAGAUAAGUGCUGAAAGCAUCUAAGCACGAAACUUGCCCCGAGAUGAGUUCUCCCUGACCCUUUAAGGGUCCUGAAGGAACGUUGAAGACGACGACGUUGAUAGGCCGGGUGUGUAAGCGCAGCGAUGCGUUGAGCUAACCGGUACUAAUGAACCGUGAGGCUUAACCUUACAACGCCGAAGCUGUU
rnacentral:rRNA from 1 species